GGAGGGUCCCCACCGAGAGCCUCCUGGCGUCUUGCUGUCUCCAUGUCCGGGCCCUAACGCCUGCCCUGCCAGCCCGACUCUGGGACGUGUGGCGUGUGUCAACCACCCCUGGUUUGUUGGAGGCCCCUGCUGAGAGGGACGCACGCCACCCAGAGCCUGUGGUCAGUGUCAGGCUGGUCACACCAGGUCUCCGAGGACUCACCAUGGGGCGCCCAGAAGAUGCUCCCCACCUUUGGCAAAGAGUUCCCAAGUGGCAUGGGGUCUCUGGUGGGUGCCCCAAUACCACCCAGGCCUUCAGGCUUCAGGUGCCCCUGCAGCGGGGCACGUGAAUCAUCAACUUAAAAGACAAAAUCAAAACUAGGAUGGAUUAAGGCCCUUUGUUUAUGUCAUUGGCUGGAAAGAACAAAACUGAAGUAACAUCAAACUAUUUUUGGUGUUCGAGCAUGAAAACACUGCUGACCUAACGCAGCCAGGGCCGGGGCGAGGCAGGGUUUCCGGCCAAAAUUCUAAAAAAUUAUCCAGAUGCUUGAAAUGGGCUCUCCGCACCCAGUCAUGUCUAGUAAACAUCAAAAAGAAUUUAAGAAAACACUUGAAGAUCUGGACAUGGAAGCACAGAACACUGGAAGAAGACGUGGACCUCAGGCGCAGCCCCGAGGACAAGAGCAGAGAAGGGGCCCCAGCACGGAGGCCCGUGUCUGCAGUGGGGGCAGGAGUGGGGUUUCAGGAACAUGGCUUGAACGUGCGGCUAAGCAGGGUUCUGGCACUCUCUUUAGCUUCACCAAGACAAAAAAUACCAUUUACUCCUUCCUUGUCAAGGCUUCAAAUGAGCCAAACAAAUAAUCAAGUAUCUAGAACUCAUAUAAAAUAAAGGACCAAAACUAUAA